rnacentral:lncRNA from 1 species
UUGAAAAGGGCUGUUCAAAUCAGGGGCGGAGCCAGUUAAGGACCAGUGCAGGCCGGUGCCCGCACUGGAAUUUCCGCCACUAAACUUUUCAGGUAGAGUUGAAGAUAGUGCCUGCACUGGGAUUUCUGGCAAUCGAAGUGCUGCUGCCUUGCCUGCUACCAAAAUAAGGUUGGAUGUAGUCAGUAGCCUGAAAUCGCCAUUGUUGCAGUCCCAUAAACAAGAACGCAGAGUGGAAGCUGGAAGAAGAAGGGAGGUGAAUUUUUGGGCCAAAUUUUUAAAAAAGUUUCUAGCCUGCAAGACUUUUUUGUUGGGCCUUUUUUUUUGUUUUUAGAUGAGCCCAUUUUCAUGGUAUAUCUUGUUUGGUGAAAUGAUUUCCCGGAAACCCAAUAAGAUAAUCAACCCUAUCCCUAUGUCUCUCUCUCCCGCUACCGCCCUUGAGGUCAUCGAUUCGACGACACCAAGCUGUCUUCUACCUUGUCCUUGUGAGUUGUACUUGCUGUCGCCGACGCCGGGCCUCCACUCUCCGCCACCGCUGAUGUAGCUUGUAAGCCUUUCUGUCUCUCUCUCUCUCUUUUUUUUUAGUUCAUUUUUUAUACCAUUUUUAUUAGGGAAUAAUUUAUGAUUUUGAUUUAUGCUUUAUGAUUGUGAGCUUGCUGAGGUUUAUAAUUUAUGAUUUCUUAGAGUCAUUAUAAAAUAUGGAGAUUUAAGUCACUGGACAUUGAUUCUAUGAAAGUUUUUGGAUGAUUUCCUGUAAAUUUUUGGAGGCUUGGUAUUUUAAUACUUGUGGAUGAUUCUUGUUGAAAUUGUGCCCCUGUAUUAUGAAUUUUUAAUAACUGAUGACUCUUCCAGCUGCUUUGAUUGGCACUGCCAUUAGCAUAAUUGGGAACUAGAGUAAGAAAUAGUAGCAACAGCCAGAGAAAUAGGGUCUAAAAAGCGGACUAAAAAAAUCACUGCAGUCGAUAUAUAAUAAAAUUGUGCCCGCACUGGAUAUAAACCCUGGCUUCGCCCCUGGUUCAAAU